UACGUAGGUGGCAAGCGUUGUCCGGAUUUACUGGGCGUAAAGGGCGCGUAGGCGGGAUGGCAAGUCGGUCGUGAAAUCCUUCGGCUCAACCGAAGAACGUCGAUCGAUACUGCUGUUCUUGAGGGUUGCAGAGGAGACUGGAAUUCCCGGUGUAGCGGUGAAAUGUGUAGAGAUCGGGAGGAACACCGGUGGCGAAGGCGGGUCUCUGGGCAGUUCCUGACGCUGAGGCACGAAGGUCAGGGGAGCAAACGGG
rnacentral:rRNA from 1 species